GUGCCAGCAGCGCGGUAACACCGGCGGCCCGAGUGGUGGUCACUAUUAUUGGGUCUAAAGGGUCCGUAGCCGGUUUGGUCAGUCUUCCGGGAAAUCUGACGGCUCAACCGUUAGGCUUUCGGGGGAUACUACCAGGCUUGGGACCGGGAGAGGUAAGAGGUACUACGGGGGUAGGAGUGAAAUCUUGUAAUCCCUGUGGGACCACCAGUGGCGAAGGCGUCUUACCAGAACGGGUCCGACGGUGAGGGACGAAAGCUGGGGGCACGAACCGG
rnacentral:rRNA from 1 species